rnacentral:rRNA from 1 species
CAGCAGCCGCGGUAAUACGUAGGGGGCAAGCGUUACCCGGAAUUACUGGGCGUAAAGGGGGCGUAGGCGGUAAAAGAAGUCAUCUGUGAAAACCUAUUGCUCAACGAUAGGCUAGCGGAUGAAACUGAAUUACUUGAGGGCACCAGAGGUAGACGGAAUUACCCGAGUAGGGGUGAAAUCCGCAGAUACGGGUAGGAACGCCGGUGGAGAAGUCGGUCUACUGGGGUGCACCAGACGCUGAGGCCCGAAAGCUAGGGGAGCAAACCGGAUUAGAUACCCGGGUAGUCCUAGCCGUAAACGAUGCUCACUAGGUGUAGGGAGUGAUAAACUCUCUGUGCUGAAGCAAACGCGCUAUGUGAGCCGCCUGGGGAGUACGUCCGCAAGGAUGAAACUCAAAGGAAUUGACGG